ACCUCGCUGGUGUAAUGGUAGAGUACGCGUCUCCGGACAAGAUGAAACGCAGGUUCCAUUCCCGCCCGAGGCA